GCCCUUGAUAGAUUGUGUACAACCAACACAAACACCUAUUGAUGAGCUCCUAAAUAGGGGUGAACACCUAUGGAUGGAAAACCUUAAAGGACCAAAUCCUCGGAGCCAAAUAGCUCUGUGGUACAAUCUCUCAAGGAGAGGAAGACCUGGAGAAAAGGGAGCAGCUGGCCGAGAGAAAUGGACACCAAGUAGUGGAGAGCAGCCGGCUGGCCACGAGGUGAACGUAAGAAGGACAAUUUGUCUGCUUAUAUUUUCUUCUGUGCUUCAGUUAAAUUUAGUGCAAAAGAUGAUGUAUCCCUUCCAUUUGCUGUAUUUUAAUGUGAUCAUUGAGCGCUCUGCUUUAGCACCUUGCAUAAUGAAUGUCUCAUUGGCAUACUGCUUAAGCAUCAUGAAACCAGAGCAGAUUCCCUAUUUGACUAGGAGGGCCUCCUUAACGCCAUAA
rnacentral:lncRNA from 1 species